rnacentral:rRNA from 1 species
GGCGGUGGGGCGGCUAUACAUGCAAGUAGAACGCUGAAGAGAGGAGCUUGCUCUUCUUGGAUGAGUUGCGAACGGGUGAGUAACGCGUAGGUAACCUGCCUUGUAGCGGGGGAUAACUAUUGGAAACGAUAGCUAAUACCGCAUAACAAUGGAUGACACAUGUCAUUUAUUUGAAAGGGGCAAUUGCUCCACUACAAGAUGGACCUGCGUUGUAUUAGCUAGUAGGUGAGGUAACGGCUCACCUAGGCGACGAUACAUAGCCGACCUGAGAGGGUGAUCGGCCACACUGGGACUGAGACACGGCCCAGACUCCUACGGGAGGCAGCAGUAGGGAAUCUUCGGCAAUGGGGGCAACCCUGACCGAGCAACGCCGCGUGAGUGAAGAAGGUUUUCGGAUCGUAAAGCUCUGUUGUAAGUCAAGAACGAGUGUGAGAGUGGAAAGUUCACACUGUGACGGUAGCUUACCAGAAAGGGACGGCUAACUACGUGCCAGCAGCCGCGGUAAUACGUAGGUCCCGAGCGUUGUCCGGAUUUAUUGGGCGUAAAGCGAGCGCAGGCGGUUUGAUAAGUCUGAAGUUAAAGGCUGUGGCUCAACCAUAGUUCGCUUUGGAAACUGUCAAACUUGAGUGCAGAAGGGGAGAGUGGAAUUCCAUGUGUAGCGGUGAAAUGCGUAGAUAUAUGGAGGAACACCGGUGGCGAAAGCGGCUCUCUGGUCUGUAACUGACGCUGAGGCUCGAAAGCGUGGGGAGCGAACAGGAUUAGAUACCCUGGUAGUCCACGCCGUAAACGAUGAGUGCUAGGUGUUGGAUCCUUUCCGGGAUUCAGUGCCGCAGCUAACGCAUUAAGCACUCCGCCUGGGGAGUACGACCGCAAGGUUGAAACUCAAAGGAAUUGACGGGGGCCCGCACAAGCGGUGGAGCAUGUGGUUUAAUUCGAAGCAACGCGAAGAACCUUACCAGGUCUUGACAUCCCGAUGCUAUUUCUAGAGAUAGAAAGUUACUUCGGUACAUCGGUGACAGGUGGUGCAUGGUUGUCGUCAGCUCGUGUCGUGAGAUGUUGGGUUAAGUCCCGCAACGAGCGCAACCCCUAUUGUUAGUUGCCAUCAUUCAGUUGGGCACUCUAGCGAGACUGCCGGUAAUAAACCGGAGGAAGGUGGGGAUGACGUCAAAUCAUCAUGCCCCUUAUGACCUGGGCUACACACGUGCUACAAUGGUUGGUACAACGAGUUGCGAGUCGGUGACGGCAAGCUAAUCUCUUAAAGCCAAUCUCAGUUCGGAUUGUAGGCUGCAACUCGCCUACAUGAAGUCGGAAUCGCUAGUAAUCGCGGAUCAGCACGCCGCGGUGAAUACGUUCCCGGGCCUUGUACACACCGCCCGUCACACCACGAGAGUUUGUAACACCCGAAGUCGGUGAGGUAACCUUUUGGAGCCAGCCGCCUAAGGUUGAUUGGAUUA